UAGGUGAGGUAACGGCUCACCUAGGCGACGAUCCCUAGCUGGUCUGAGAGGAUGACCAGCCACACUGGAACUGAGACACGGUCCAGACUCCUACGGGAGGCAGCAGUGGGGAAUAUUGCACAAUGGGCGCAAGCCUGAUGCAGCCAUGCCGCGUGUGUGAAGAAGGCCUUCGGGUUGUAAAGCACUUUCAGCGGGGAGGAAGGCGUUAAGGUUAAUAACCUUGGCGAUUGACGUUACCCGCAGAAGAAGCACCGGCUAACUCCGUGCCAGCAGCCGCGGUAAUACGGAGGGUGCAAGCGUUAAUCGGAAUUACUGGGCGUAAAGCGCACGCAGGCGGUCUGUCAAGUCGGAUGUGAAAUCCCCGGGCUCAACCUGGGAACUGCAUUCGAAACUGGCAGGCUAGAGUCUUGUAGAGGGGGGUAGAAUUCCAGGUGUAGCGGUGAAAUGCGUAGAGAUCUGGAGGAAUACCGGUGGCGAAGGCGGCCCCCUGGACAAAGACUGACGCUCAGGUGCGAAAGCGUGGGGAGCAAACAGGAUUAGAUACCCUGGUAGUCCACGCCGUAAACGAUGUCGAUUUGGAGGUUGUGCCCUUGAGGCGUGGCUUCCGGAGCUAACGCGUUAAAUCGACCGCCUGGGGAGUACGGCCGCAAGGUUAAAACUCAAAUGAAUUGACGGGGGCCCGCACAAGCGGUGGAGCAUGUGGUUUAAUUCGAUGCAACGCGAAGAACCUUACCUGGUCUUGACAUCCACAGAACUUUCCAGAGAUGGAUUGGUGCCUUCGGGAACUGUGAGACAGGUGCUGCAUGGCUGUCGUCAGCUCGUGUUGUGAAAUGUUGGGUUAAGUCCCGCAACGAGCGCAACCCUUAUCCUUUGUUGCCAGCGGUCCGGCCGGGAACUCAAAGGAGACUGCCAGUGAUAAACUGGAGGAAGGUGGGGAUGACGUCAAGUCAUCAUGGCCCUUACGACCAGGGCUACACACGUGCUACAAUGGCAUAUACAAAGAGAAGCGACCUCGCGAGAGCAAGCGGACCUCAUAAAGUAUGUCGUAGUCCGGAUUGGAGUCUGCAACUCGACUCCAUGAAGUCGGAAUCGCUAGUAAUCGUAGAUCAGAAUGCUACGGUGAAUACGUUCCCGGGCCUUGUACACACCGCCCGUCACACCAUGGGAGUGGGUUGCAAAAGAAGUAGGUAGCUUAACCUUCGGGAGGGCGCUUACCACUUUGUG
rnacentral:rRNA from 1 species